UACGAAGGGGGCUAGCGUUGCUCGGAAUCACUGGGCGUAAAGCGCACGUAGGCGGAUUGUCAAGUCAGGGGUGAAAUCCUGGAGCUCAACUCCAGAACUGCCUUUGAUACUGGCGAUCUUGAGUUCGGGAGAGGUGAGUGGAACUGCGAGUGUAGAGGUGAAAUUCGUAGAUAUUCGCAAGAACACCAGUGGCGAAGGCGGCUCACUGGCCCGAUACUGACGCUGAGGUGCGAAAGCGUGGGGAGCAAACAGG
rnacentral:rRNA from 1 species